rnacentral:rRNA from 1 species
AGUGAACGCUAGCGGUAGGCCUAACACAUGCAAGUCGAACGGCAGCACAGAGGAGCUUGCUCCUUGGGUGGCGAGUGGCGGACGGGUGAGGAAUACAUCGGAAUCUACUCUGUCGUGGGGGAUAACGUAGGGAAACUUACGCUAAUACCGCAUACGACCUACGGGUGAAAGCAGGGGACCUUCGGGCCUUGCGCGAUUGAAUGAGCCGAUGUCGGAUUAGCUAGUUGGCGGGGUAAAGGGCCACCAAGGCGCCGAGCCGUAGCUGGUCUGAGAGGAUGAUCAGCCACACUGGAACUGAGACACGGUCCAGACUCCUACGGGAGGCAGCAGUGGGGAAUAUUGGACAAUGGGCGCAAGCCUGAUCCAGCCAUACCGCGUGGGUGAAGAAGGCCUUCGGGUUGUAAAGCCCUUUUGUUGGGAAAGAAAUCCAGCUGGCUAAUACCCGGUUGGGAUGACGGUACCCAAAGAAUAAGCACCGGCUAACUUCGUGCCAGCAGCCGCCGCCG